rnacentral:rRNA from 1 species
UACGGGGGGGGCAAGCGUUGUUCGGAAUUACUGGGCGUAAAGGGCUCGUAGGCGGCCAACUAAGUCAUACGUGAAAUCCCUCGGCUUAACUGGGGAACUGCGUCCGAUACUGGAUGGCUUGAGUUUGGGAGAGGGAUGCGGAAUUCCAGGUGUAGCGGUGAAAUGCGUAGAUAUCUGGAGGAACACCGGUGGCGAAGGCGGCAUCCUGGACCAACACUGACACUGAGGAGCGAAAGCCAGGGGAGCAAACGGG